GGCGAACGGGUGAGUAAUGUAUCGGAANGUGCCUANUAGCGGGGGAUAACUACGCGAAACGUAGCUAAUACCGCAUACGCCCUACGGGGGAAAGCAGGGGAUCGCAAGACCUUGCACUAUUAGAGCGGCCGAUAUCGGAUUAGCUAGUUGGUGGGGUAACGGCUCACCAAGGCGACGAUCCGUAGCUGGUUUGAGAGGACGACCAGCCACACUGGGACUGAGACACGGCCCAGACUCCUACGGGAGGCAGCAGUGGGGAAUUUUGGACAAUGGGGGAAACCCUGAUCCAGCCAUCCCGCGUGUGCGAUGAAGGCCUUCGGGUUGUAAAGCACUUUUGGCAGGAAAGAAACGUCAUGGGCUAAUACCCCGUGAAACUGACGGUACCUGCAGAAUAAGCACCGGC
rnacentral:rRNA from 1 species